rnacentral:misc_RNA from 1 species
UCGUAAAAAAGAGGUGCGAGGGCUGUCGCUGACCCCCCAAAGGUCGUGCACGCCUGAGCACUUUUACACAAUCCAUCUCACCCCUUGUGCAUCACCGCGUGGGUCCCCCCUUUGCAGGGAGGGGCCUGCGUUUCCACAUAAAACUUGAUACAGUGUAGAAUGUUUAUUUUUGCGGUCACACGCAAUCAAUA